rnacentral:rRNA from 1 species
CAGCAGCCACGGGAAUACAGAGGGUGCGAGCGUUAAUCGGAUUUACUGGGCGUAAAGCGUGCGUAGGCGGCUUUUUAAGUCGGAUGUGAAAUCCCUGAGCUUAACUUAGGAAUUGCAUUCGAUACUGGGAAGCUAGAGUAUGGGAGAGGAUGGUAGAAUUCCAGGUGUAGCGGUGAAAUGCGUAAAGAUCUGGAGGAAUACCGAUGGCGAAGGCAGCCAUCUGGCCUAAUACUGACGCUGAGGUACGAAAGCAUGGGGAGCAAACAGGAUUAGAUACCCCUGUAGUCCCUGUCUCUUAUAC